rnacentral:lncRNA from 1 species
GCCUUCGUCUUUCCUCAGUACUCUUACAACCAACCUAUUUAUAGCCCAGGAAAGGAAAAAGCUUACUGGAGGCAGGAAAACUAAGUUCGGAAAGAAUAGGAGGAAGUGUGCCUGCCAUUUAGCCAAACAACCUUUAAUUCAUUGAGCUCAAAGCUUAGCAGCUUCACUGUGGCUGCUGGGCAUAAACAGCUGGCAAAUUUCAAUUUUUUUUCUCUUUACUUUUGAACUGGAUUUAGGCAAUGAGGGUGAUAACCAUGUUUUAGAAAAGAAAAUAGGAAUCUUGGGUGCUUAGACACAAUGAAGAGAAACUUGCAAGAAGUUUAUGAGGAUGAAAGAAAAAGAUAGUGGGAUGAACUUCAGAUGAUUGCAUGUCCGCAGUUAAGGAUGGUCCAGCACUUCAAAGUCAGUUCUGAAUCCAUUUUAUUGCACAACAGAGUGAAAUCUAAGACAUUGGGCUUGCCUUGUCUUUGAGGAAAUACCUCCAGCCCUGCUCUUCGUGGGCAGACAUGCUUGGAUCGCUGUGAUUUCCAAAUGGUUUCCUGAAGUAACACUUGGCUGAGAGACAGAUGACAGCAAGGUGAAGGAAAGGUUAGGAUUAAACAUGGAGGGAUGUAGGACACACAACUGUGCACAAAUGCUCAGUUUUCCUGCGGGAGAGGGCGGAUGAGGAGGGGCCUGGGCUUCACCAAUGACCCUUACCGCCUCUGGGGUAGGGAAGAGGAGGAGAGGUAGGGAGGCCCAGCCAGCCUUCACGUGUGGAAUGUGCUUUCCAAGUCAGUUUUUUUUUUUUUAAAUAUCUCAGUAACAUAACCGCUGGAUCCUGCAGAUACCGCCAUUGUGCUUUCUUAUCAGUAGUGACUGAGCACUCGGUGACAGUGUCAGGCAUUAAGUGACCUGCAGUCAAGGUCGAGAUAUCUGGGUUGAGUGGUGCUGGUGUUGGUUUCACAAAACAGAGAAUUCAGGAACCAACAAGCGAGUUGGGAUUAUGUCUGUAGCUCCAGGAAUAGGAGUCUAGGUCAAGGGAAAAACUAAUACCUUCCUGUAACUUCUCCCACCUGGGAGCUGGGGCUGUUCUGGGGGCCCUCGGGGGCAAAGAGGUGGUGCGCAGAGGGGCACGCAGCUCUGCAGUGGGCACCUCCGUGUUUUCCAUCUGAAACCACGCCCAUGUCUUCGGAGCCGCUAACUUGUCCUUCCUCAGUGUCCUUCUCUCAAUUGCUUUGGCUUAGGACAUUGUCUGUAAAUUUUUUCUUCGCCCUGAAAUCUACCAGGUAACUUAACAUGAGUCUGCUGCCUCCUCUCAGUGCCCCUUUGGAUUCUCUGAUAUCACUACUGAAAUGCUCAGCAAUCUGUCACACACCAUUUUAGGCUGGAACUCAUAGCAAUCCUCUUGCCUUGGCCUCCCACGUGCUGGGAUUACAGGCAUGCAUCACCAUACUGGGUUUAGAAGACUUCUAAAUGAUAAUGUGAACAACCCUUUUCAGCUUUUACUCCUCUAGAUCCCUGCAUCAUUUAAGAUUCUAAAGCUGGGCUGGGGAUUUAGCUCAGUGGUUUCGCCACCUGCUGUGCAAACACAAGGACCAGAGUUUGAUCCCCCGUACCAAAAAAAAAAAAAAAAAAAAGAUCCUAAAGUUUUCCUUUGUCAAAUUCUGCGACAGUGUUGCUCUUUUGUUCUUUCUAUUUUUUUAAGAACGUUUUCCCUACAUCUGCAAAAUGGCCAUUUACCAAGAGACGCUGUUUCGCACUGCUCUCUAACUCCUUUUCCCGCAGAGAACUUGUUCUCGGCCUCACUUUAAAUAGUCCUGUGCUUGCUCAUCUAGCUGUGAGGAACUGCAGCCUGAACUCUAGGCCAGUUGUCUUCUUGUCAGCAAGAUGUUUCUCCUGGUGUUCCAUCAUCGUGUCAAACUCGGCAAGUCCAAGAUAAAAAUCCUGUCCUCUUCCUGUUCUACUCUGCCCACAAGGUUUCCUGUGAUGGCGACAUCAUCCCGUGCAGCUGGGGACGCCUGUCCUCCCACUAAGCCAGUGGCUCACUCUUCCUGCUGAAUGUGUCUCUUAGCCAUUCCUCCAUCCAUCACUGCUGCCUGUUCUCAUUCCCUCUCACCUUAUUUGUGGACACUCUAAGCACCCUCUACAGCUGGUUCUUUUCCUCAGGGGCUCCCCUUUCACACUCAACUCCUCGGAGGUUAAUCUGGGCAGAGCCACAAACUGCCUGGGGUCUCAGCCAAGGGCAUGGGACAGAAAUAUGGUGAAAGUGGCUGUAUUGUUAUAAGAAAGGGUGCAUCUCCUGAAAUUGCAAGAAGCCAAGUGGAGAAGUGGCAAGGGCCUCUCCAGAAACCAGAGCACCAAGGGCCUGAGGAGCCAGGUGCCUGCUGGAGCCUGAGGAUCCCCCUCUCUUGCCUCAACCCCUGCCCUCCCCUCAAACAAGAUAUAGCCUCAUAUAUAAGUGGUUAAUUGAUAUUUUCACUAGGACACAGAUUUAUGUGUAAUAGAGAUCAGAAAUGUUUUUAAAUUAUAAGCAUCACAUACAGUAUGAUUAUACCUUGGGCUUAGGUAUGUCCACAUGCGAUUUGAGAUCCUAAACUGUCUUAAUCAUUUUUACCUUUCCUGAUAUAAGAUAUUACAUAUAGCAACUUCCUAAUCUUAUGAUUGGCAAAUAAUGAAGAGUAUUAGCAAGCUGGGGAUUUAGCUCAGUGGCACCACGCCUGCCUGGCAAGCACAAGGUCCUGAGUUCAAUUCCUGGUACCAAAAAAAAAAAAAAACUGCAAAUAUUAGCAAGGUGUACAGAUUCCCACAUGUGUGUAUGCUCAUAUGGUUUUCUCCAGCUGACCUUUCAUCAUUGUUUUUUCAUUCUUUAGGGCUAGACAUUGUUUUUUCAAAUAUCUACUUUUAAGGCAUAAUACAUUUUGUAAUACAGAUAUGAUGGAAUGUUGUGCAGCCAUCUAGAACAAGAUUAUGUUUUGGGAAGAAUAUUUGACUAAUUCUUUAAUGUAAAAAAUAUGUCUAAUGACAUUGGAAAUGUUUACAAUAUAUGAUUAAUACAAAAAGCAGUUUGAAAAUCUGCAUGUCUAUUAUAAAUUUUAGAAAAGAACAGAGAUAUAAUUUGUUAGUUACCUCUUUCUGUGUAACAAAUCAUUCCCAAAUUAAGUGGCUUUAUAUAACAGUAAUCAUUUUUACCUGUCAUAAUUUCUGUGGAUCAACAAUCCAGAGGUUCAGACUAAGGAGAGUGUCAUGAGAGAUUGUAGCCAGAUGUCAUUUAGGGCUAGCAUCAUCUGAAGACUUGCUGGGGACCAUAACUUCUAUUUUUCCAUUUCCCCCCUAGAUUUGCUAAGGUAUAAUUGACAAACCAAAAUUUCAUCUAUUUAUGCUAUGAAAUGUAAUGUUGUAAUAUGUGUAUACAUUCUGAAAUGAAUACAUCAAGUUAUUUAACAUAUCUGUUACCUCACAUAGUGUUUUUUGGAUGGUAAGAACAUUUAAGAUCUACUUUUAGCAAUUUUCAAAUAUAUAAUGUAUUAUUAUUAACAACAGACACCGUACUGUACAAUAGGUUUCCAGAACUUACUUAUCCUGCAAAACUGAAACUUUGUGUCCCUUGACCAGCACUCCCUAUUUCCCUGAAUACCUCUACCAAGGCUUUCAAAAUCACAGUUCUAUUCUCUGAUUCAGUGAGUUCAACUUUUUUGGAUUCCACAUAUAAGUGAGAUUUUGCAGUAUUUGUUUUUCUGUGCCUGACUUUCACUUAACAUAGUGUCCUCCUAUCUCAUCCAUGUUGUACCAAGCAACUGAUUCAAACUCCUAACAGGUUAUUGGUCUAUUCAGAUUUUCUGUUUCAUCACAAUUCAAUCUAGGUAAGUUGUAUGUUUCUAGGAUUAAUUUGUUUUUUCUAGUUACAUUGUAUAACAUGUAAUCUAUCUUGGAGAAUGUUAUAUGUGCACUUAAAUAUAGUGUAUAUUCUGUACUUGUUGUAUGGCAUAUUCUCUUUAUGUUGUUAGGUCCAUUUUGUCUAUAAUGUUGUUCAAGUCUGUUGUCUCCUUAUUGGUUUUCUAUCUAGAGUUGAAGGUGAGAUAUCAGAGUUCCCUAACCUUAUUGUAUUGUUGUCUAUUUCUGUCUUUAGUUCUGUUAAUAUUUUCCAUUUAAAUGUUUCAAUAUUAGUUGCAUAUAUAUGUAAUUGUUAUGUCCUUUUGACGAAUUGUCUGCUUUAUCACUGCCUUGUUUUAUAGUUUUAGAUGUGAGGUCUAUUUUAUUUGGUAUAAAUAUAGCUACUUCUGCUCUCUUUUGUUUGCCAUUUGCAUGGAAUAUAUUUUCCAUCCUUCAACUUUCAGCUUAUGUGUGUCUUUAAAGCUAAUGUGAGAUUCUUUUAGAAAGCAUAUAGUUGGAAUGUUUUUUGGUAUUGAGCCUUCACACCAAGCUACAUUCCUUGUCCUUUUUAAAUUUUGGGACAAGGUCUCAGUCUGUAAGGAAUAUCUGGCCAUAUAGUUAAAUGUUUUGUUUUAUUCAUUCAGUCACUCUAUGUCUUUCAAUUGGAGAAUUUAAUUUAAUCUAAUUCCAUUUUAUGCAAUUGUUGAUAGGUAAGUAUUAUUGUAUUAGUCAGCUUUCCUGCAGCUGAGACACAAUAUCUGAUAUCCAAAACUUAAAAGAGGAGAGGUUUAAUUUGCCUCAUGGUUUUAGAGUGUUCAGUCCAUGGCCAAUUGGCUCCAAGGCAGGAACAUCAUGGUGGAAGAGUGUGGUGGAGUAAAGCUUCUGAGUUCAUGGUGGCUGGGAAGCAGAACAGGGUCAUAGCUCCAAAGACAAAAGGGUGAGUGGCCAGAUAUAGACCCCAAGGUCAUGCCCCUAUGACCAACCCAGCCAUACCAGAAGUGCACUUUACUCAUAAUCCCUUGGGUGGCUCCCAAGCCAAUCAAAUUGACAAUUGCUUAUAGUGUUUUGUAUUUCUUAUGCUUUGUUCUUCCUCUUUUGCUGAUUUCCUUUGUGACUGGAUGGUCUUUUUUAGUUGUAUGCCUUGAUUCUUUACUUUUUAUAUUUACUAUAUUUGCAGUAGGUUUUUUGCUUUAUAUUUACCAUCAGGCUUACCUAAAAGGUCUUAUAUUUACAAUAGUUUGUUUUAGGCUGAAGAUAGCUUAACUCUAACUGCAUAUAAAACUGACUUCUCUUUCUCCAUAUUUUGUCAUUUAUGUCACAAUAUACAUCUUUUUAGCUGGACAUGGUGGUGCACAUACACUUGUACUCCUAGCACUUGGAAGGUUAAGGCAGAAGUACUGCUAUAAGUUCUAAGCCAGCCUGCAUCAUAUAGUAAGUUUAAGUCCAGCCUAAAAUACAUAGCAAGACCCUGUCUCAAAGAAAAAAAAGAAAAAACAGAACAAAAUAAACAAACAAGUACAGUGGACCCUCAAGUUACAACCGGUAUGACAUACAAACAACUUGUGUUAACUAGGUUAAUGGAAGAUUCAUCUUCCUUUUGUUAUCUAUAGCGUGUACUCAACUAAGCAUCCAGAUCUCAGCUAUAUUGACUUGGUUACAACCAGCCUUUUGGAACCAAUCGAAUUCAUAAGUCAAGGGUCCACUGUACAUAUAUAAUUUUAUAUUGUGUAUUAUAAUUAAUAUUAACAAAUUAAUACAGUUAUAAUUAUUGCUUUGUCAUUUAAUUUUAAUACUGGAGUUAAAAGUGAUUUAUGCACCACCAUUACGGUAUUAUAAUACAGAUGAUCCCCAGUUUACUAUGAUUUGACUUAUGAUUUUUAAAAAAAUUUAUGAUGAUGCGAAAGUGACACUGUUUAGUUGAAACUAUUCACAUUUUGAGUUUUGAUUUUGUUUUUCUAGGCUAGUGAUGUGCAAUACAUACUCUCUGCUGAUGUGGGACAGUGGCAGUGAGCCACAGCUCCCUAACAGCUAGCUACCUGAUCACAAGUGUAAACACCUGGUACUCUACAUAUACAGUAUUGCUAAGCUGUGAUAGUUGGUAGGAUAGGACAACUAGGUGCAUUUUUGACUCACGGUAUUUUUAAUUUAUGGUCAGUUUAUUGCAAUAUAACUCCAUUGUAAUUGAAGAGUACCUGUAUUCUGAAUUACCUUACCACUGAGUUUUAUAUUUUCGUAUGUUUACAUGUUGGUUAGGAGCCUUUCUUUGCAACUUGAAGAACUCCUGUUAGUACUUAAGACAGAUCUAGUGGUAAUGAACUCCCACAGCUUUUGUUUGUCUAGAAAAGUCCUUUCAUCUUCAUUUUUAAAAGACAUUCUUGCCAAGUCUAGUAUCUUGGUUGGCAGUUUUCUUUUUUAUUUUGUUUUUAGUUUUUGAGACAGGGUCUUGCUAUUGUAGUUCAGUCUGGCCAUGAACUCACUAUGUAGCCAAGGCUGGCCUCGAACUCAUGGCGAUCCUCCUGCCUCAGCAUCUGAAAUGCUGGAAUUAUAGGCAUACACCACCACAUUUGGCAAAUUGGCAGAUAUUUUUCUUUCAGCACAUUAUGAAUAUCAAUCACACUCCUGCUUGCAAGAUUUCUGAGCAAUCCACUGAAAGUCUCUUGAGGGUUCCCUGUAUUUGAUGAGCUGCUUUUCUCUUGCUGUUUUCAAAAUUCACUCUCUGACUUUUGAGAAUUUUGUUAUAAUGUGUCUGGGUGAAAAUAUCUUUAUAUAUAAUCUACUCAGGGAUCUUAGGACUUCAUGGAUCUGAAUAUUCAUUUUAUUUUCAGAUUUCUGGAGUUUUCUGCCAUUAUUUCUUUAAAUAAGCUUCCUGCCCUGUAUUUUUUUCUCUUUGCCUUCCAUGAAUCCCAUAAUGUAUAUUAAAUUUCUUGACAGUGUCCCUAUAGAAUUGUAGAUUUUUUUUCUUCAUCAUUUUUUGCUUUUCACACUUCUGACUAGAUAUUUCAAAUAAUCUGCCUCUUGCUUAUUCGAUCCUCCCAUUGAAGCUUUCUGUGGAAUUUUCAGUUCAAUCUUUUAGCUCCAGUGUUUCUGGAGGUUUUGUUGUUCUUGUUUUCAUUGUUUAAUAGUUUCUAUAUCUGUGUUGAGUGUCUUGGUUUUGCUUGUUCGUUUAAUGGUUUCUGUAUCUUUGGUGAACAUCUCACUUUUUUGUUUGUCUGUCUAAUGAUUUCUGUAUCUCUCUUGAGUAUCUCAUUUUAUUUAUAUUAUUCACCUGAUUUUAUUUAGGUAUCUCUUCUCUUGUAGCUUGCUAAGCUUCUUUAAGAUGAUUAUUAUGAUUUUUUGGCAGACAUUUCAUAGAUUUCCAUUUCUUUAGGGUCAGUUACUGGUGCUUUAUUUUGUUGUUUGGUAAUGUCAUGUUUCUCUGAUUAUUCAUCACUCUGUAGCCAUAUGUUGGUGCCUGCACACUUGAAGAAGAUACUUGUUCUGUUACAUACUAACUUUGAUGGGGAAAACUCUUCACUGGUUGGUGAAACUCUGGAUAGUUCACUGGAAACGAUGGAUAGGCUGUCUGGUGGAGUCUGAGGGUAGGUUGCUGUCCACUCCUUGUGCAAACUGGCCUGGUGCUUGGGUCAAUGAGUGGUGAGAGGGCAGGCCUGAAGCUUGGAUCUCCUGGGAUGGACCUGGAUCUUGGGUUUUUGGGAGCUGGCUGAAAGCCUAGGUCCAUAGAGUCUGACCUGGUGCUGGGGUAGGCCUCGAGCUUGAGUCCUUGGAACCCACUCAGCAUUGGGAUGGGCCUGCCUAACUGUGGAGACAAGACUGGAUCCUGAGUUCACAGAGGCUGGCCUGAUGCUGAGCCUGGCCUGGAGUCUGGUUCCACAGAGGCUUCCUAGAUAGAGGUCAGGCUGCCAGGAUGGGCCUGGCUCUCUGGAAGAUCUGGAGCCUGGGUCUGUCAUAGGCUUACCUUUGUGCUUUGUCAGAAAUGAAGCCUAAGGCUAUGGAGGCCUUCCUGGAUCCUAGAGCCUUGGGAGCUAGCCUGGUGCUUAGAUGGACUCGGGCGCUUGGUCUAUGGGUGCUGUCCUGGAGCCUGUGGCCUUGCGCACUUCUUUGGUGCUGGGCCUCACUGGUACAGGCUUCAUGCUGGAGUCCACAGUAAAGUUAGGAGCUCCCUGGUCACUGGAUGAGGCCCAGAUAAAGGCGGACACGUUUAAGCUGGAAAAUGAAUUGUGGUUUGAGACCUAGCCUUCUUUGCUCUCAGAAUUCUACAGGCAAGGCAGAAAAUGUAACUGCUAAUAGGUUUUGAGUUUUAUAUCUUGUAACUUGGCCACAGAAAAAAGAUGUUCUGGUUCCAUAUCUGAAAAAUAUGGGUAAGGGAUGCAUUAGGUUAGGGAACUGUCCACCUGAUUCAGUUGCUUACUCUUAGAGCACUCAAAUGUGGCCUAACCAGAGAAGGACAUUGAUUGGCAGAGUGGGGGUUACACACCCAAGGGAAGAUGGGCGAUGGGACUGUGGUUGAAGGUAGUGACUGGAGAGAAGAGAUUUGGGAUGUCAGGCAGUGUCAUAGACAUCAACUAUAACUUCUCAGCCAUUUCUGUCUGAGACAAUGUCAUGUAGGUGAUGACGCCAUGAGGCUUAAGAUUAUCUUAAUGAAUGUAAAAAUGCACACAGUUUACAUUUUUAUAACACAGUAUGGUUUUUCAAUGAACUUUUUACUAUAUUAUUUCUAUUCUUUUCAAAAGCAAUCCGUGAAACAAAUUCUCCCAUUCCUAUCUUGUUGAUUCACUUUUUCUUGAAAGCAGAAUUAAAGGUUUAUUAUAUCAGUGAUAUCAUUCAAAUAGCUUUUGAUUGUUCGUUUGUUUGUUUGUUUUUGGUAUGGGGAUGGAACUUGGGACCUUGUGCUUGCGAGGCAGGUGGCAGCACCACUGAGCUAAAGCUCCGGCCCUCAAAUAGCUUUUGAAGAAAACUUUGGUGAAAAAAAUCAUCCAUUUAGCUUAUUGGAUCCUUGUAAUACAUAUAAAUUCCACGGGUGCAUAAGAUGCACCCAUGGAAUUUAUAAAACAAACAAUAAAAGAAAACCUAGGAAGCAAUAAUAUGAAAAUAGGCCAAGCAGGGGCCUGGGAUUUAGCUCAGUGUUUCCGGCGCCUGCCUUGAAAGCACAAGGUCCAGAGCUUGAUCCCUGGUACCAAAAAAAAAAAAACCAAUUUGUGGUGAUCCUCCAGCCUCAGCCUCCUGAGUGCUGGGAUUACAGGCAUGUAUCACCACAUCUGGCUUGAAAAUAGGCCAAGCAGAUCAGAAGCAAGGAUUCCAGUCACUAUGCCUACCUCUACCAUAUGGUAUCACCUUACUCACACCAAUAGCAAAAACUGGGAAUGAGGGAAGAGUUGUUCCUAAGCAGGCUACUCCACUGAGAUCCUUUACAGACUUGGUGACUCUUAAAUCAGACUUAUAAUGUGGUGGAUUCACUCUCCAAGUGGAUUAAGAGAGGGAUGGGAUGAGAAAUUUUGUCUUUGAUUCUUAGUCCUGUGGAGUAUUCCAUUUUAGCACCCCAGUGAUCAGGACAGGACCACAAACUCCUACAUAAUAGGGAAGGGGGAAGGACAUUUGGAGAGAUCUUAUGCUCAGAGCAUGAGCUGCACUAAUAUUCCUAGUUUCCUAGUGUCUCACCCACAGUUCCCUGCACCUGAGGCCCAUUAUGUGUAAAAUCCACAAAGGCUGAGGAAGAGCUGCCAAGGAUUGAUGGCCUGGAGGAGCCACAGGGCCUCUUGUUGGACUAAGACUAAAGAGUUAACUUCUGGAAAGAAUUUUCAUCUACUUUCCCAAUAAGACUGAUUAGAACCAUCUAUCUAGUCCUGAGAUUUCAUGAAGGGACAGAUGGGAUGUGCCAUCUGGCCUGGUGAAGCUUAGUCCGGGUUGCUCAGAGGAGUUUUAGCUCCACCAUGCAGGGAAGGACUUUACCUUCAGAUGUUCUAAGGAGCAGAGGUGCUAGGAGGUGCUAGACAUUGUCCCACCCUGCCCUGUACAUCUCAAUUUUAAGUACAAGGUGCUGCAUUAUUUCUUAAUAUACCAACUGAGUACCUGUUAGACAACUUCACAUUUACCAUUUUGCUGAGAUUAUAGCAUGGAAACAUUUCUUAUUGCCAAUUCUCUGUUUCCCUUCUACUUCUCUCACCCUCUACUCUCUCCACAAAGUGAGCUUCUUUUGUUAUUGUUGGUAUAAAGAACUUUCCUUCAAUUAAUUUCAAGGCCUCAGAAGAGCAGUUAAGAGGGCUUGAGUUGGGGAGAGGUCUUGAUCCUCUUAUUUACACAUAUACAGCCCCACAUCUGUGAAGCUGAACUGAUUAUGGAUCUGUCCUUUAGUUUAUUUUUUAAUGAUAAUGUCUACAUUUAAUAGUGAGUGGAGAGAUGGAGGGAGGGGGAAAUUCUUAAAAAGAAUCAAGGUAUGUUAUGAACAUGUACCAAUUCCCCAAGAUGAAUCUAUGCAUUAUGUACUGCAAACAUGUCCUAAUACAAAUAAAAAUUUAAAAAUAGUACAUUUAGGCCAUAUCCACUGUGUUUAUAGAAGUAUUAAUGUUAUUUUUAUUUUCUAUUGCCAUUGUUUUUUUAUUGUCUCCAUUUUCUGCCUUUUAUUUGAUUUUUCAAGUUUUUAUAUUCCAAUUUUUCCUCCUUUGUGAUUUAGAAGCACAUAAUUUAAGUUUCUUUUGUAUGAGUGGUUAUAUUUAAAUAUAUACUUGACUUAAUAAAAUAUAUAUCUUCAAUCUUCUUCUGAAUAAUAUCUUAGAAACUUUUAAUUCUGAUCUCAUUCUCCCAUCAUUGAUGUUAUUGUUGUUAAACAUUUUAGUUCCAUAAAAAAAAUUAGCUUUGUUAAGUUAUAAUUGACACAAUAAAUUUCACAUAGUUUCAGUAUACAAUUUGAUGUCUUGAUCUAUGCAUACACCCAUGAAACUAGCAGCACAACAGAAUAAUUAAUAAACCCAUUUAAAAAAAAAUGAUGCAUUUCACACACACAUAUAACUGGCUGCAUAUUACCAAGAUUGGCUAGUUUUCUGCAAACUCAUUUCACUUGAUGAAGGACCUGUGAUGAUCACUAUUCAUCAAACCACAAGGCAUUGCGCUAAGUGCUUGUGCUAGGUAGCUUUCCACUGCUAAGACAAGAGCCUGAGAUAAUCAGUGUGAUUAAGAAAAAAGGUUUCUUUUGGCUCAGUUUUAGAGAUUUCAGUGCAUGAUCAGCUGGCCCUGUUGCCUUGGCCCUGGGGCAGCACAUCACAGUGAGAAUGCAUAGUGGAGCAAAGCUGCUCACCUCAUGACCAGGAAGUAAAAAGAGAGGGAAGAGGAGGCUGGGGCCCCACAGUCCCCUUCAAGGGCACAGCCCUUAUGACCUGAAGAUCUCUCACUAGGUCCCACCCCUUAAAGUGUCUACCACCCCCCAUUAAUUCCAGGGGCUGGAGCCCACCUUUAACGGGUAGAACUUUGGAGAAUGUUUAUCCAAACCAUAGUCCUGCUUGUUCCUAUUGUCUUUAAUUUUUAAUUACACAAACAAUACAGGUUUGUUAUAAGUGAAUGUACUCAAUACUAAAAUGAAUUGUACAGAAAGAAGAAAGACUUGGGAUCCUCUUGUUUAAGAGUGGAUAUAUUUUUAUUGCUUACUGUUACAGCAAUUAUUUUCUAUGCAUUUGAAAGCAUGUGUUAUUAUAAUAAAAAUGGAGCUAAAUGUAUAGUUUUUUUCCAGCUCAUUUACCUGCUACAUCAAGUUUGUCUUUUUAUCCUUUUCAUGCCUGAUGUACACACACAACAUUGACUGCAUGUAUUGUGAUUAUUUUGAUUAUUUUCUUUUUUCUUUCUUUCUUUCUUUCUUUCUUUUUUUCUUUCCUCUUUCCUAUGACAAAUAUCAUAUUGAACUUGUCUUACAUAUAUUUUUGUGUACUGACCACAUUUUUAUAGGAUAAAUUUCUAAAGUGGAAUGCAUUAUUUCCUAUCUGAGUCCUAUGUAGGAAGCCUAUAUAGCUAGCCACCCUUUGAUUAGCUUUUUUCUUUUACAAAUGAGGAAUUUGAUCCUUAAAUACUUAUUUAAUUUAUAAGUACAGAAUAGGGAACAGGAAUCCUUGUAUCCUUUUCCGUGGCAUGCAACCUUCCCACCUGGUUUUCAUACUAGUUUAGAAAAUGGUUAAAGAAGAAAAACUUUAUGGUGGAACUGUCAGGGGAAUUACUAGGAAUUCUCAGCUAAGAAUAUCCUACGUAAUUAGAAUGUAGGGGACAUAGUUGUUCAAGCAAUUUAUAUUUUUGCCUGGCCUCUCAACUGAGGACAUGAACGUGAGCUGAUGGUCUAUUAAUAGCAGGUUACUGUGAAGCAUCCUCGGGAGGUUGCAAAGGAGCUGUCUGUCAUGGGCACCUAGGAAAUGCUUGCCCACUUUUUGUUCUGAAGUAAAGGACACAUCUGGCCAGUAUAUUGGGUCCAAAAUUGGACUUAUAUUUAUUUUACUUAAUAAGAGCUUUUAAAUCAUAUGAUCACUUGUUGGUUGCUAUUUUUAAUGCGCCAGGGGUGCAGACAUUUCUUGCGAUUCUUUCUAAAUAAAGAUCAAUUUUCUACACAAGGAUUGUUUUAAUAAUGUGGACAAAUUUCUCUUAAUUUGCAUGAGUAUAGUGUACUUAUUUUUCUUAUAUCCAAGAAUCCUGUGGUCAGUUGUUUGUGUCUUGAGAGUGUAUUGCCUGGUGCAGCCAUACAAGUUAACAGGAAUGUGGAGUACAUAUGCUGUUAAAAAUACAGACAAAUAUAUUCCAACACCUCACUCCAAUCUCCCAAGCUAAACUAGAUGGAGGAAACUUACAGUUCGGACAAGAUGGUUUUAGAUUAAACCCUCCUCCCCCCAGGUGUGUAACUCUAGACACUGGGUGCUCUUCGUGUGCCUGCCUCAGCAGGCAUGUGAGGGAGCUGACGCUUCAGCUACAUGGCCUCGGUCUAGCAAAUGAGGUCGAAACAGUACAGGGCUGACUCACCCUUUUCCCCACCUGCUGUGAAAGGGUAGUAAAAUGUUUUUAGUCCGGCCUUAAUAUUUUCUUUCUUCAUAGCACAUUAGUUCACAUUUGCUCAUAAAAAGAUUUUUAAACCAAUAAGCAAUCGAUUGUAUGCCUGGAAUGAUCUUUAGAGUUCACGGACAGUUGGUGCGUGUGCAUGACAAGGGCUGAAAUAGCAGGGAGUGAAGAAACGCCAACUUUGAAACAAGGUGUGGUGGUGCUUGCCUGUAAGCAAAGCGCUCAGGAGGCUGAGGCAAGAGGCCAGCCUGGGCUGCACAACGAGAACUUGUCUGAAAAUGAGACCGGGGGUGGGGGUGGGGGGCUUUUAAUGGAUCGAUUUUAGUCAGUUGAGUUUGAAAGAACAUUCUUUCUCUUCAUGAAACAUAAGCAAGCAUCUUCAGCAUAAAUGAUUUAGUAAACAUACCUGUUAGGACAUAAUUUUGAGAUGAAGUUGUUAGUGGUUCUUGUCCUACAGUCUUGAUCCUCAAAGCUAACAUUUCUCAAGGUUUCUAACUCAUGACCUUUGCAUUGCUAUUUGUUCAGUGUGGGGGAAAUAAUUGACAAAGCAUAGUUAAGCCAGGUAUGAGCAAAAUUGGUUGGGACAAAUUUUCAUCAGUAAUAACUCUUGCAAGAGGAGGAAAAAGCCUAGCGUGAACUGAACUCAACUUUUUGAUUUUUACAGAGAGAAUGAGGGGGUUGGCAGGGAACAAGUAGGGGAUCAGUAGAAUCAGAAAAGCAAAGAAUUACAAAGGGUUGGUGGGUGUACAUGAGAUUAGACCACCUGUGUCUGCUGACUGACAGUUAAAAAGUUAGUAUUCUGGUCUCCCAUGGUUGGAAGACAAAGGUUCUUUUCUCAAGUGUGGGCAGGAACAGUCUUUAUUUUUUUUUAUCCUUGAGUUUUCCCAGGCAGACACUUGAAAGGGGACUACAGUCAUCUUACCCAUGUGGCCAUGAGCUGCUAGAAACCAUCCUAAGGUUUGUGCUGGACUUCAGAGGCCAAGAUUGAGGCUGUGGUGAGGAGAGAGCUCAAAGGAGCCCAGCUAGCAUUUGGUCAAGAAGAACAGCUUCGUCGAUAGCAAAUGGAUACAUAAUUUUACACUCCCAGUAAUUUCAGUUUUGUACAUCUAUAUGGUGGACAGACAAUCAGCAGCAACUGGAGAUACAGGUACAAGAAUUGUUAGUUCAACAUUAUUUACAGAGACAAAAACUGGGGACAUUUUGAAUAUUCAUCAACAAAGCGAAUAACCUAUUGAUGUAGCUGUACUGCAGGGUAGGAUGCAGUUCUUAAAAACAAUUUAAACCUAUAUUAUUGACUUUGGAUCCAAUAUACCUGUCUGUGAUGCAUUAUUAAAGCAGAAAAAUCAACUUAUAGAGUAAGAGAGUUUUAAAAUAUGAAAAAGUAGAACACAUACAGGUGUGGCCAAAAUAUAUAGUGAAUGUUUUAAAUUAAAAAAAAAUUUUUUUUGGUACCAGGGAUGGAACUCAGGUCCUUGUGCUUGCACAGCAGGUGGCGAACCACUGAGCUAAAUCCCUGGCCCUUAAAUUUUAAAUUUUUAUUACAAUAAAAAUCACAUUGCUAUUAAUCCCCUUCACUUUGAAGAUAUUCAUCCCAUCAUUUUUGCUACUUUCUGAAGCAGUUCUGGAAGUUCUCUUUCCUGAGGGUCUUUAUGAGUUAUGAUAAAAAAAAAAUAGGGUGUAUGUUGCUGCUGAGGGCCACCCCAUGGAAAGCCAGGCUUCUAAAAACAUUGCAGUGUGUCUUCAUCCCCCUUAUUCACUGAAUCUGACACUGAUUGACUUCUGGUUUUUCCCCAAAGUCAAAAUGACCAUGAAAGGUCAACAUUUUGAAUCAAUUGUGUACAUCAUGGUAACAGCCAGAACAGCACAACUAAGGGCACUCCUGAAAGAGGACUUCCAGAACUGCUUCAGAAAGUGGCAAGAAUGAUAGGAUAAAUGUUUUCAAAGUCAGAGGGAAUAUUUUGAGGGGAUUAGUGACAAGGUGUCUUUUACUUUAAUAACUUUUAAAAAUUUAAACAUUCACUGUAUUUUAUGAUAGCUCCAUCUACAUGCAAAUAUGUGUGUGUGUGUGUUUGUGUAUGUGUGAGAUAUAUUUUUAUGUGGUCUCCAUGAGAUCAGAAGAUAGGAAAAGGGGGUUAUUCAAUUUUUUAUUUAGGUAUUCUUUGAAUUAUUCAACUUACUACAAUGGGCAUGUAUGGGGUUGUGUGUGUGCGUGCAUGUGUGUUGUACUGGGGAUUGAACCCAAGGACUCACAAACCCAAAGCAGGUGCUCUACCACUCAACUACAUCCCCAGCCCUUUUUAUUUUAUUUUGAGACAAGUCACUCUAAAUUGCCCAUGCUGGUCUCAAACUUUCCAUCCUCCUGCCUCAGCCUUCCAAGUAGCUGCAAAUACAGGCAUAUGCCAGAGUGCUCCAAUUUUUAAAUUCAAGUAUUUCAUAAAAUAAAAGUAAACAAAUACAGGAGUCUUGCUUUUUUUAUUUUGUGAAACAAGAAAGGAGACCAGUCUUCACUGUGAUGGUAUUUGCCUUCUGUAGCAUGGCUACUAGAAUGCAGAUGUAAACAUUAUUGCUGGGGAUUCAGAUUCCUAUCAAAGCUUCACAGCUAAGCCUGGUGUUUAUCAGCUGUUGUAAUCUGUGCUCCUUUUCUUUGUUUUUUGGUAUCGGGGAGCGAACUCUGGACCUUGCGCUUGCGAGGCAGGUGGUGGAACCACUGAGCUAAAUCCCCGGCCCCUCGCUCCUUUUCAUUGCUGAGGGACUUUAUUGAGCUUUUGACCUUCUGUGAUCUUAUAUUAAGAAAACAAAAGCCAGGCGUGGUGGCGCAUGCCUGUAACUGUAAUCCCAACACUGAGAGGCUGAGGCAGGAGGAUAGUUGUGAGUUUGAGGCCAGCCUGAGCUCAAUAGUGAGUUCCAGGGCAGCCUGAACUACAUAGCAAAAUUUAUCUCAAAAAAACAAAAAAAUAUGAAAAAGUAAAAGAGAACAUUGUGCCCACUCCUCAGUUCUUAUCGCUCAGUUUAAGAUGUUUUACCCCAGCAUAAAUGUGUGACCUGCUUUUCACUAAUAAGAGUGGCCAUCACAAACAUGAGCUAUGAGAAUUAUCUUUUCUUUUUAGUAGCACUAGGAAUUGAACCCAGGUCCUUUGCACUGCGUUACAUCCCCAGCCCAUAUUUACAUUUUUAAUUUUGAGACAGGUUCUUGCUAAGUCGCUAAAUUGUAUUGAGCUCAGACUUAUAAUGUUCCUGCCUCCGCCUCCUCCAGAUUGCUGGAAUUAUAGGCAAGAGAACACUAAUUUUCAAAUUAAAACAUUAGGCUAGGUGUGGUGGCACAUGCCUAUCAUCCCAGCACUUGGGAGACUGAAGUGGGGGGAUCGUGGCAAGUUCAAUGAGGCCAGCCUGGGCUGUAUACAGAAAUGAGUUCAAAGUCAGUCUGAACUGUAGUGAGACCCUGUCUCAAAAAAAAAAAAUAAAACAUUAGAUAAAACUGAAAAUUCCUCCACUGCUUUUCUUUUAUGUGCUGGUAAAAUUGCCUUUUUAGUUUACUCCCUGUGAUCUAAAAAUGAAAAAUCCUGUUGUAAUAGUAUUAGAUCCUCAUUCCUCAGUGAGUUCCCCCUCUCUGUGGUUGCCUUUGUGUUUGCUCAGAAGCCCUAAGAAAAAAGUCUUAGCUAAAGAUUUUCCGUACACAAAGAUGUCAGUGAAUACCGAGACUGACACCACAAGGCUGAGCAAAUGCAGCAUAAGAAAAUCACAGCACUAUUGGGUGAAUGUAUGGUAAAGAGUGAGACUUUACAAAAGGAUCCGGAAAUGAGGUCAAGGUCUGGGCCCCCAGGUUUAUAACCUAGCAAUGGGUGGACUAAGACUUGAGCAAGUAGUUCAAUGCUAAGGCUGGAAAGUAGCCUUGUUAGUUAGCUAGCUGGGUUCGAGUAACCUGGUAAUUAAGAGUGAAGAGCAAACGUGAUUGGGUGGGACAUUGCCAUUGCUUAGAAUUAUGCACAAUUUUGACCAGAUGGAAUCAAAUUAAUAUGGCUAUUUUAUAAUUUUGGCCCUGGUGUAAAAAUCCAUCCACCCAUUCAUUCGUUCGUUCACUCAGGAAGUGUUCAUUGAGUGGUACCUUCUAGCUGGGCCGGAACUGUGGUGAAUCCAGGGCAGCUCAAGGACUCAGGAAGAGCCCUGGGUGGAUCGAGGGAAGCCAUAGUGUGAAGCUGGGGUGCAGGGAGGCCAAGCACCCCUAGAGUUCAGGUGCAAGAGCAAGAGGAUUUGGAGUUUUGAGCAGUGUUUUUCCUUUGACUCCUAGGAACCUUGAACGGCUUCCCCCAACUCGUGUAUUCUCUCCCUUGGGGCUGUUUACUAGUUGUGGUGGGCUAGUUAACCUCACUAGAGGUCAUCUGGGUAAAAACAGUAUCUCCUUCAGGCAUUGACAUGAGAAUUAAGGGAGCAGUUUGCUCAGAUGCUACUUGUAACACGUCAUCAAUAAUAUAUUAACAUAUGUUACAUAUUAAUGGGUUCCUAUUAUUAUUAUAGAUCAUUAUCUAUAAUAUAGAUACUUAUAUAUGGCCUUCUACAGGUUCCUCUUUUCUCCCAGAGAUUUGGAGAACAGAGGUUUUUAUCACAUACUUUGGUGAAUCUUUCAAUGCAAACUACAUUGAACAAAGGCAAUACAUUUCUUCCUUUACAGAUGUUGAUUUGCUUUCCUCAAGGGCAUUAGAGGUUGAAAAUUACUUCUUUUUUUUUUUUAAAAAAAGUCCUUCUUUCUUUUCUAUUUGUUACAGCAUAUAACCAGCACAACUCUUCUGAUUAACUGACUGUGACUGGGUACUUAUUUUGACUCUGCAUAGCUCAAAAAGAAAGAAAGGGGGAAAUAACAGGAAGGUUAGUGAAAAUUCCCCAUGAUAAGUACUUAGCUAAAUGUUGGAACUAAAGAAGAGAAACAGAGAAGACAUCAAAAAAGGUGCCAGUACCUAACAGAGGGCAUGCACAAGGUAGAGCUGGAAGAAGAAGAGAGUAAGGCUGCAUACAAAGAAAGUGGAGAGACAGGUUACCAUGAGCUGAUGCCUCAACUUGACCAGCAGGGGGUGGAGCACUAACUCGAAGCAGUUGCGCUUGGCCGAAGCAGAAAGGCUACGUUUCCUGAGAGCCACUCCAGGGGAGAAGAUGCCCACGGUGUGGGGGGGAUGGAUACCCUUGGGCAUCCCUGCGCUUGGGAAGUUCAGACAGGUACAGAGGCCUGAGAGGAUGGCUCUGCAGAGUCCCAAGAGCUUGGACAAGGCCCCCUUCCCUCCUUUCUGCCUCCUUUGAGCCUGGCAAUUCUACCGUUUGCAGUAAUUUGCAGUCUCCUAUUAGGUCCAGUGCUAGCAAGAGAGAGGAGCUAGACUUGAGAAGAAGUGUCUGGCUUGGGUAUUGAAUGGUGAGGCUUCUUUAGCUCUUGGUCCUUUGUCCUUCAUCCCUUUUCUUGUCCAAGGCUUUCCAUCACUGUAAAGACAAGGUAUAAAUACACCAAAAUACUAUUUCAAAUGAUCAGUAGGCCUCUUUUUCUGUUUCUGAUAGAAGAUUGUCACAUCAGCAUGUAUUUUAGGGCACUGCAUUUAGUUUUUUGUUCUUUUGAGACAAGGUCUUGCUCUGCCUUUUGAUACUCGAUAGAAGUUUAUUUCUAUUACUAGCUAUAAUCUCUUAGAAAAUGAUAUUUUGAUGCUUACAAAAUAUUUCAUUUACACUUUGGGAUCUCUUUGUUGGUAACAAAUUAGGCCCUUACUCCCCUGAAAGUGUAACCGGACUGAGGGUUUCCCCCCAUUAUUCUAGAAAAUACUAUCCUCUAUAUGGAGGGAAACUUCUGAUAUGAUUUUCACUGUUAAUAAUUAUGAGACAAAUCCCAGAAUGAAUGAUUGCCCACACAUGCUUCUACACUGAGUAAGAUUUCACUUAUUAAAAAUCAGGGUUGAGCUGGGUGUGAUGCUGUACACCUGUAAUCCUAAUACUCAGGAGGCUGAGCCAGGAGGAUUGCCACAAGUUAGAGACCACCUGUACUACACAGUGAGUUCAAGGAUGGCUUAAACUACAUAGUAAGACCCUGUCUCAAAAAAAAAAAAAUCAAGGUUGACAGUUUAACAGGCUAAUUAUGGUUCUGAAAUCCCCAAGGGGACUUUAACCAUAGUUUUUCAGACAUUCACUUUGCCAAAUAAGCCACUGUCAGAUAUAUCUACUGUACCCUGAAGUGCAAGAGCAACACUGAUUUGGGGAAGUGUCGCUCUUGCUAUACCAAGAGGUCAGACACCCAAGUUCAGAGUAAUGGCUGAUCUUGAUUGUCAGCUUGGUCGGCUUGAGCGAUGCCUAGAUUAGUCGAGCAUGCUCCUGGGGGUGUCUGGGUAGGAUUUGGGGGUGCGACAUUCGGGACUGUGUUUGGUCCCUUCCUCCUUCCUCUCUGGAUCUUUCCAUCUUUCUCUUUUUUCUGGAUGCCAUGAAUUGAGCAGCGUUCCCUUGCCAUGCUCUUCUACAUGAUAAUUCUGCGUAGGCACGAGCAGGCCUCUGACACUGUGCACCAUAAUAAAUUUUCCUUCUUUAAUUGUGUGUCAAGCAUGUUGUCCCAGCAAUGGAAAGGUGGCUAAUGUAAUCAGACACCAUCCCAAACCAGAUACUCCAAGGACUUUCCUUGGGGAGAAGGAUGGUAAGCUAAGGCUGGGAAAACAAGGCCAGGAGAGAAGUAUGACUCCAGAAAAAUUUCCAAGAUGGUUUACUACCUCUCUGAGCAGCAGGAAAAAUGGCAGGUCAGUCCAACUUCUCAGCACACCCAACGGGGCAGCAGAAUAUCUACGAUGUGCUGUAUAAACUUGAUAAUUGCUGUUUCCACUUGCGCUGGCCGAUAAUCUUAGGUGCUCUGCUGAGCCCCAAAAUGUUGACACAGUGCAGCACAUAAUGAUGCAGAAGGUGGUCUUAGGGGACCUGAAGUCAUUUCCUUUGACUCUUUAGAUAAAGCCACAUUUGAUUUUCUUCAGGCGCUCCUCCUACGUUUGCCAUCAGGCAUCUGUGUGCAUAGCAGCCCUGCGCUUUGAAGUCAAACCUAAGCAUGGUGGGAUGGGUAGUUAGGGUCUGCCCUCCUCAGGGAUGGUCCACUUAGUCCUGGGGCUCUUCCAGCAAACCCAAGCCUGGAAUUCUGAGAAAAUGAAACCGAGCAGAUUGUGUGUUUCAGGGCCACCUGAAGUGUAGCGCUGUUUCCACCUGCUGUGUGAAUUCCUGCUUCCUUUUUCUUGCCAGUGAAGAGCCCUGGUGAAACUGUGAGUUGAGAGGGCCCAGGGACUGCCAGCCUCUCGUCCCCCUCACAAACACGAUUCAACCUUCCACUGGUGGUGACCUGCCCUCCGGUGGGUCUUAGCAGCUGUUGGCAGUUUUGCACUAAAAGAAAACAAACUGAGGAAUGUACUUCCCUGCAUACUAACGAAAUGGCCCGGCCAACUCAGGGGUGAUGAGAAGGCUUUCGGAACCCAGGAGAAUAAUGAUCCUCAGUCUCUGACCUCCUGGCACGGCUUGCUGUUUAUCAGGAGGCACAUGUGACUGGCUAAGACGCUGAGCUGGGGCUUCAAGGAAACAGCUGCUGCUGGUGUACUUGGCUUUUGGCAGCUGGACAGGCAGAACACAGAGACAAAACCACCCCAGUAAGUAACUGCAGACUUUCAAGCUGUGUGUGCGCGUGUGUUUGCACAAGCUACCAACAACUUAUUUUAUUUUGAUUUUGGUUUCCCUCUGACUCUGUAGAAGGAAAUGCCUUAUUUGUACCUGUUAAUACCCAUUUGUGCUUUUACUAGCCAUUGAAGAACCUGUGAUUUUUAGCAACGUCGUCUUCUAGCUUUGCAAGGGAUGAAUGUGGCAUCUUCCUUUAUUCCUGUCUGAGGAAAGAGCUUGUUUCCAGGUGUCUGGGAUUUGUAUGGCCCAUAGCACUUAGCUUCAGAGCCAAGAUUCAGUCAGGUAACAAAGUACAGAACUCAUGGAAGUGAGCUGACUAGAUUUAAUUUUAAUCAAUUUUAUCAUUAAAAUUUCAAAGCAUAGUUGUUCAAAAUCACUUGUGAAUUUAUUGUGCGGCUGGCUUGACCAUUACUGGUUGACUUGAAGACUAUUUUUCUUAACAAUGUAUAAGUGGUUGUACUACUGAGAAGUGACAAGGUAAUACUUGAUUAGAUUAGAAAUCGUAUUCAGAUUUCAUGCAUGUUUUCCAACUCAUUGAAAGCUAUCUUUUUUCACUGAGUUAAUUCACUCCUGAUAUUUUAAAGCUAAAAUUUUCCGUUGCUCCUGGUCUUUCUUGUUUUAGUGUUUCUGUGAUGCUUGGGCUCUUGUUUCUUUGUUUAUGACAUGGAUUGUGAAAGUGCUGCCUGAAGCCGAUUGUCCACACUGGGGACCUGGCAUACAGAGACCUGAGAAGAUGUCCUUUCCAGGGUCAUUCAGCAACAGGGAGUUUGCUCUGCAGAGAGCUGCAAGUGGUGCCAUGCUGGGACAGAGUUUAGAGGUAUUUGUCCUUCUCUGGAGGUCACCAGCCAGAAUGGAUAAGAGGAAAGAAAAAAGAGGAAAGUUGAGGAGGCAGGACCUGGAAUAGAUGACGUAGCCUCUGAAAUUGACAGGCUUCUCAAUCAGAGGCGCAAGGAGAUGACAAAGCAGCUUCCUUUUCCAAAUUACCCGGACAGCAUUGAGGGGAGCGGGUGGUUGUUUUCAUUUGAUUUCUCAUUAGACAGUGUUUGGCUUGCAGUGAACCAGGGCACUCGGAAGUGUGACUGAGGGACCAGUGAGUAGGCUCAUGUUGUGCAAUAUGCAUGGGACUUUUGGCCCUUCCCCGAGGGAACUCUGCUUUCUCUCCCACUGCCAGGCACCUUUUGUUGGAUGUGGAGAUUGGAUGGAAAAUGACCCAAGGUAUGUUGGUUCUGCCCACAGGAUUCCCUCAACACAAUUGGGCUGGAGUACCUCAUUAGCAGCCGCAGAUGCCCCAAUGGGAAAAAAUGGCUAGCCUGGCAGAGAGAUGUUCUUCCCCUUAUUUCUUAAAAUAUAGAAGAAACCACAGUCUUGAGUGUCCAAUGAGAAAGAAAUGGUUGCAACUCCUCCGUUUCUGUUUAUGUCAUUUGUGUGAAGGCCCUUGGGUCAGCUGGCAUCCACAUGGCCUGCGACUUCCCUGUUGGGGUGCAGGGGAUCUGUUAUUUCCCUGUGCCUACCAUGCUGGGUCAUUUUCUAAGGAGUUCACUUCUGGUUUAGUUUCUCUUUUUCUAUAUGUUGAUAGUGGAAAAGAACUCUCCAGUGAAAUCAUGUUUUUAGAAAAAUAGAGCCUCUCACAAUAAAAUACAGUAUCUAAUUGAGUCUAAACUAAAGACUGAUCUCUGUAAUUGUGACACUGUCAUUUAUGGUAAUUUAUAGGGCAAGGUGUAGUUCAGUGUUAGAGCAUGUGCCUAGCGUGUGCCAGUUCCUGAUUUUGAUCUCUAUCACUGGAAAUUAAAAAGAGAGCCUAUUAAAUGGAAUAUCUGGCAUGGAAUGGUGGUGCAUGCCUGUAAUGACAGCUGCUCCACAGGCUGAGGCAGGAGGGUUGCCAGUUUGAGGGCUAGAUGGAAAGUUGCAGGCAGCCUCGACAUAGUAAGACCAUGUGUGGAAAAAAGCAAAAAGAAUGUCUAAAUGGGAAUGAGCAUAUUGUUUGAAUUAUACAACUGCUGAAUUUUUGAAAGUUCACAGAUCUUGAGCAACUCAAUGAACUUUCAAAAUGCUAAUGGAAUAAUAAUAAAAAUAAUUACUUUAGACACAUUAGAAUAUAUCAUUAUACUCAAAGACUUUUAGAUCUGGAUAGGAAUUAGGAAUGUUUAGUUUAGCACCUUCAUUUUGUAGAUGAGGAAAUUGCGAUAAAUGUAUCUGAGUCACAGUGCUGAGCCGGAAAAGAGAGUAGUUCUGGUACUGUUACAGGGUAAUAUUAAUUCCAGUAAUUAUAAUGUACAUUUAUUGUGCUCUUACCAUGCCAAGGGAUUAUAUUUUUAUAGAGUCUUCAUAUAACCCUAUGUGCUAUAUGGAUAGAUGGUGAUUCACAGUGGUUCAGCUUAACAAGUUUUUGCUAUCUUUUUUUUCUGGUACCAGGGACCGAACUCAGGACCUUGUGCUUGUGAGGCAGGUACAGCACCACUGAGCUACAUCCCCAUCCCUCAACAAGUUUUUGACUCUAGAAAAGUGUGAAAGUGAUAGGCAUCCAGUGGAAACCGUACUGGGAAUUUUGAAUUUGGAUCUUUUCAUGAACUAGUGAUAUGUUGUAUAAUCAAUCCUUUCUUGAGAGGCAGGGCAGCAACCACAGAUCAUGGGGGAGACAAUCAACCUACAUUGCCCAGAGUUGGUAAGCAGGGCCGUUCAGUAGGUUAAGUGCAUGAAAAUGCAUUUUCAACUAACCACAUUUUCAACUUUUGAUGGGUUGAUUGGUAUGUAACCCACUGUAAGUUAAGCAGCAUUUGUAUAUUAUUCUUCUUCCAGUUUCACAUAAGGAGAAAUGAAGGCGUGGAGUCCCCUUAGAUACAUACAGGAGUGACAUCCAGAUCUGAUACCAGAACCUACACACGUUAAAAAAUAAAAAUGCACUUUAUGGUGAAUCCCACACCGUUAAGCUUAAAAGCCCAUGAAAUGCAAAUGAGAGAAUUUCCAGCACAAUAAGAUUAGAUGCACAGUGUGUGUUAAGGGCUUUCCAAACCCUACAUGACAGGAAGGGCUAGGUUUCCCCCUGUGACAGUGCGAGCCUGGGCCACACAGCAGCACUGACCGGCAGUGUGUUUUUCUCUUUGGAGACAGUGCACAGUGACGGCCCUUGCACAGGAAAGGCCAGCAGCUGAGAGCUUUGUCACUACCUGGAGUGCACUGCUCUCACUGUCCCCUCUGGCCUAUCCCUUUUUUCCUGUCACUCCUUUCUUUUGGAGAACACCUGCUCCACCCAUGCCCCACCCCUAGUUGCUGGCUUAGUUUUAGUGAAACCUUCAUGCAACCUGCUCCUCGUGGCUCUGGUGGAAGGCUGGUUGUUCCAGCAGAUUGUUAUGAAGAGAAACAACCCAGGCUUUCACUCUGCUAUUGCUUGCUCUGAGGUAUGGCCCCAGAACGGGGCUUGGCUGGGAGGGAACAGACUUGUGCUUCUGUCUGCAGACUGUGAUGCUGCCUGCACCCUCCAUUUGCUCCGAGUCACAUUUCUCUCCCCACAUGCUACAUAUCCACACACUGCCUGUCUCACCUGUGAACCUGCGGCUUUUCUGGGUCAUGAGACAGAACCCUUACAUAAACUUGCUUCUUGAACCCUUUCAAAAGUUUCAGUUGGGUCUCCACAUUCCUUCUCCUGGUUAAAUCUGAAGAUUGUGAUAGCACAGCACUUGGUGAUAACAUAGAAGCAGCGGUGGAGCUGGAAAAGUCCUUUGGUUAGUCAGGGGGAAGAGUAAGCAAGUAGCCCAUGCAUGUAUGUCUUUGAGAAAAUUUUUCGUGUUUGUUCAAGGUCAUUAUGAUAAGAUUACAUUUCUGUUUUGUUGUUUGUUUGACACAGGGUCUUCCUAUGUAGUUCAGGCUGACCUUGAACUCACUGUAUAGUCCAAAGUGACCUCAAACUCACAGCAAUUCAAAUUCUGGGAUUACAGGUGUGUGCUUCCGUGCCUGUCUAAGAUUACAUAUUUUGAGGAUGAAGCUAUUCACAGAAAGAAAAGGAAAUUUGUAAUCUUUAGUUCCACCUGCCCAGGGCCUUAAGCCCAACUCAACAGUAGUUGUCUAUGCGGUCAGACAAGCCAGAACCACUGGGAAUUAGCUCCAAUGGAAGUUACAGUCACCCCUCAAUAUUCUUGAGGAUUGGUCUCUGGACUCAAUGAGUCCAAGGACACUCACGUUCCUUAUAAAUAAUGGCAUAGGGUUUGCAUACAACCUGUUCAUGUCCUCCUGUAUACUUUAAAUCAUCUCUAGGUUACCUAUAAUCUCUUCUAUAACAUAAACACUAUGUAAAUAAUUGUUAACUGUAUUGUUUAGGGAAUAAUAAUAAGGCUGUAGCUGUUCAGAACAGGUGUAAUUACUUUUGAAAAUAUUUUUGAUCCUCGGUUGGUUGAAUCUGUGGACAUGGAACCCAAGAAGGAGGCCACAAUGCCUCUAACCCUGGCUGGGAACUUCUUAUUUCCAUGGAAAUUGGCACAGUGUAGUGGGUGUUAUAUAGAAACUCAUGAAAUGGACUCAGAAUUCUAACAGAGUGCACCAGACAAGCUCCAGGGCUGUUUUGAAGCAAUACAAAAUGCUUGAUUAAUUUGGGGGGAACUCUUACAGUAAGGAAAUAAAUUCUGUGAUGCAGUGCUUAUUUUGUUUACAUGUGCCACAUUGUUUUAUUAUUAUUGCUAUUAUUAUUAUUAGUCUUUUUUUUCAGACAGGGCCUUGCUAUGUAGUUCAGACUGGCCUUGAACUCACUAUGUAGCCCAGGCUGACCUCCAAUUUGCAGCCAUCUACCUCCCUUAGCCUCUCAGGGGAUUCCAGGCAUGCACCACCACAUCCAGUUCUAGAUCGAGUGUUUUAAAGGUAUCUGUUCCCAAAGAGUUAAAAUCCUUGGCAUCCCCUUUCCCAGUAUAUCAAUUGCUCAUUUAUAGUCUGUGGUGUUAACUGCUGGACUCUUAUGUUCUCAUUGCUUUAUGAGAUUUGAUAUUUUUCAACUAGUCAUUAUACUUCCAGUCUGUGCUUUAGUCUUUGAGCCCAGCUUUGGCAUCAAGAUAAAUCCCUGCAAUUAUAUGGGAAUUUAGUGGCAUAAGGUACUUUCUUGCCCUUUGUCACAGUCCUGUGAAAGAGGGAGGACAUCAUCACCAUUGUGUACAGAGAGAAUGAGAGAAAAUGAGUAACUUGUCCAUGCUCAUAGAAUAAGGAACUAACAAAUUCAACUCAGCCUGCAGUCUGCUGACUUCCAAUCCCAGGCCCUUUCUCUUCCUAUAUGCUGUCAUCCAGAGAAAGACCAAUUUUGACUUUUUCAUGAUCAUAUGCUUAGAUAUAGCCCUGUGGGAUAAAAAGUAUCAUAACUUGUCUCAUUAUCUUCUCAUAGGCGAAAAGAAAAUAGAUGCCUGAUUUGUAGCAUGCCAUUCCAUUUGUAUUCUUGAUGGAAUUUCCAAAGCCUAUGUGCAAUUGACCUCAAACAAGGAACCUCUUAUAAUAGUUCAUACACAAUACUAUUUGCUUAGGGUAACAUUUAAAACAGAACUCAGUGAUCCUUUUCCUUCCCAGUGUGAUUGAGUUGGAGUCAAAUCUACUAUGGUGUGAUACAGCAUUCACCUGUAAGGAGAUCUGGUUGUUUUCUGAGAUAGAGAAAAUGAAGUCUUCCCUCCAGCACACACUCUCUCUGCCCAACAAGAGCAUCAGCACACUUGGAAGUUCUGCCUUCUUAAGGCAGCUGUAUUUCCAUGGAGCAAGAGUGUACUCUGACCACAGGAAUAGCAUACAAGGUAAUCAUCUAUCCCCUUGGUGCAAUUAUCUACCCACAAACACACAAGAGAGUUUUAGUUUGCUAGAGUAAUCAAGACUUUCCACUAUCAGUCAACUUUCUGUUAUGGAAAUCCAGUUCAUCGUCCAACAGCGUUAUUAGUAAGAUGGCAAGGUCAAAAGAUGACAGCAGAUGAGCUCUGAUGAUUUUAAGUGCAGCUCACGCUGCAAUGGCCAGGGGAAAAUUAAGCAACACCUUUGCGACCGUAAGAGCUGCUUAGGCUUUAUUUUUUAGGUAACUUACUUGAGCGUGUUUAAGACAGCCUUCUUUGAAUUAAAAAAUUUCUGAAAGACAUUUAAUCCAUGAACUGACAAAGAGUAUUUUUCUUUAGUGACUAUUGCAAUCAUCAGAAUUUUCUGCACCUGUCAAAAGGACAACAAGGAAAGAAAAUAAAAAAGAGAAAUGAAAUGAUAAGCUAAUGACAGAUUUUACUGAAUUACAGCUUGCAGGAUUUGAAGCAAUAUGAAUCUUAAUGCCACUAUUAUAAGUGGAGGAUUCCACUCAAUAUACACAUAAUUUUUGUAAAUGCAGACAUCCCAACAUCUUUUAAGUUUCUAUUUGGUCAGAUGGGCAAUUUUAUUUUCUGAAGGCUUCUCUAUUUGCCAGACACUGUUUUAUUUUUCAUUUAAUUUAGUGUUCAGACAGACUUGUCCUCACCCCACAAGAUGUCCUAAGACCCUGUAUAGAUCAUUAUGUCGUUGAUCUGCUUUAGUAUUAUAAAUAUAUUUGGAGUUUCAACUUGGCACAUGUUCCUGGAACAGUCUUUGGCAGAGAACUAGUAAUGUGAUGAAAAUUACAUGUGAAAAAAUUAAAUCCAUAUCUAAUCUGACAAUUUGAUUUUAGUAACUGCCUUUGAAUGUCUGUAAGUGAUUUGAAUGGCUUUUCUUUCCCUGUCUGCAGUGUUUAUAUAGUUGUAGAGACCUAAACAAUUAAUGAAUUGGCCAAAAGAGAAGAGUAGCAGUUUAAGAGAACAACUCAGGCAAAGAGGCCAUGGAUCUAUGAUAAAAUCAGAUUCCAGUUAUUUUUUUUCUUAGUCAUUCCUCUGGCUUUUUUUAAAAAUAAAAAAUUUCUCUCCACUCAACAAUUCAAAAUGGCCCUAACCAAGUUUCCUUGGAGUCUUCUAUUUAUAUUAACUUUGGGAAGGCGUCAUGAGGGAUUCCUUCCUGGAAUUCACACAUACAGCUCAGUUUUAUAGAACAUGAGACCUGGAAUGAAGGAGCUAGGAAAAAGAAAUGUCUUUUUCCAGCCACACUGUAACAUGCCUCAUGACUAUCAAGGAUGAAUCUUCUCAGAUCUCCAGUCAAUAUAGAUUUCUGGAAUUCAUUAACUACUCCAGAAUUUUAAGCAGUUUUAAAUUGAAGAACUGAGUAUUAUCUCCAUAAUUGGUUCUGGGAAACUCAGACCAUGAGUUCAGCUUGACUGAAUUUGGGAAUCUGCCCAGCUUCCAGUUCUGUUUUUCUAAGUAGUAAGUAUUUCAUUUAUGUGUGGAAUGCCUGUAUUCUCAAUCCUAUGUGUUGACAGGAUGUUUUAGGGAUUUUUUUUUUCUUUGAGGGCAAGGCCAGUGCCCAAUCCGAAGGAUGAUGCUAGAGAUUUCUCUAGCCCAUUUAUCUCUCCAAUCUCUUAGUUCUGAAACAAACCUGCUUCUUUCUGUCUUCCUUCUGUAGUAGAAAUUUAUACUGUGUCUGUUCUAGGGAGAAAAAAAAAAAAAGCAUUUAUUUUCACCUUACCCAGAAGGGGACUGUGGGCACUCUUAUGAAAGAGAAAAAUUUCAGAGGUCAAGUACCUUGUACCUGGUGAGAACACAAACCACUGAGUCACUUUCUAGUUCUCCUCUGCACGAAACAAAGUACGAUAAAACCUUGGAUUGCGAGUAACUUGUUCUACAAGUGUUCUGCGAGAGGAACAAACAUUUCUAAUAAAUUUUAAUACAUUUCUAAUAAGUAAGUGAUAUCUUGCAAUAUAAGUAGUAUGUGACCUGAACAUCACAUGAUCCCUACUGAGCCAAUGGUUCAUCUCUCUCUCUCUCUCUCUCUGGGAUCGUGGGUGACCAUUCUCCAACAGCAAGUGGUUAUGGAGGAGUUCUCAUCUGCAGAGUAGGAGGAGCAGCAUAACACUCCACUGUGUAUAAAUACAUUUUCCUUAUCUAUUCAUCUGUUGAUGGACAUAUGUUCUGUUUCCAAGAUCUAGCUAUUAUAAACUAUGCUGCUAUAAACAUGGUAUACAUGUAUCCCUCUAAAAUGAUGCUUUUAACUCUUUCAGUGAUACCUUGAAGGGGGAUGGUUGGAUCAAAUGAAAUUUCUACUUUUAGUUUUUUGAGGAAUCUCCACACUAUUUUCCAUAGUGGUUAUACUAGUUUACAUUCCCACCAACAAUGUUGAAGAGUCCCUUUUUCUCCUGCAGCCUCACCAGCAUUUGUUAUUAUUAGAUUUUUUGGUAUAGCCAUUCUUUCUGGCAUAAAAUGGCAUCUCAGUAUAGUUUUAAUUCACAUUUCUCUGAUGGCCAGCAAUGUUGAGCAUUUUUUUCACAUAUUUAUUGGCCAUUUGUAUAUCUUCUAAGAAGUGUCUAUUCAUUUUGGUGGCACAUUUUUGAUUGGGUCUUUUAUUUGAGGGAGUCUACUUUUUUGAGUUCUUUAUAUAUUUUUAAUUUUAGUCCUCCUACCAUGGCAAAAAUUAUUUCCCAUUCUGUAGAUUGUUUCUUCACUCUAUUGGUUGUUUCCUUUGCUGCUCAGAAGAUUUUUAAUUUGACAUGAUCUCAUUUGUUGAUUCUCUUGUGCCACUGGGGUUCUGUUCAGAAAGUCCUUGCCUAUGCCUAUGUCUUUAGGAGUUGGACCUAUUUUAUCUUUCAGGAAGUUAAGUGUUUCUGUUUUAACAUUUAGAUCUUUGAUCCAUUUUGAUUUUAGUUUAGUACAUGGUGAGAUAUAUGGAUCUAGACUCGAUAUCUACAUGUGGAUAUCCAAUUUUCCCAGCAUCAUUUAUUAAAGAGGCUAUCUUGCUUCUAGUGGAUGUUUUUGGCUUCUUUGUCAAAGAUCAAAUAGCUGUAUAUGCCUGUGGUUGUUUCUUCUUCUAUUCUGUCCUAUUGAUCCACAUACCUGUGUUUGUGCCAGUACCAUGCUGUUUUAGUCACUGAAGCUCUAUAACUUUAAGUCUGGGAUUGUGAUACUUCCUGCUUUGCUUUUGUUACCUAGAAUUGCUUUUGCUAUUCUGGGUCUCUUCUGAUUCCAUAUAAAUUGUUUUUUCUUGCUCUGUGAGAAAUGAUGUUGGUAUUUUGAUUGGGAUUGCACUAAAUCUGUGUAUCAGUUUUGGAAGUAUAACCAUUUUUAUUACAUUGGUUCUGCCUAUCCAGGAACAGGAGAUGUUUUUCCAUUUUCUGAUGCUCACCUCAAUUUCCUUUUUCAAAGUGAUGUAAUUUUCAUUGUAGAGGUCUUUUACUUCUUUAGUUAGGUUAAUACCUAAGUAUUUAAAUUUUUGAUGCUAUUGUUUUAGUAUUGUUUUCCUAAUUGCCUUUUCAGUGAGUUUAUUAUUAGUGUAUGGGAAUGCUACUGAUUUUGUGUGUUUAUUUGCAUUUUCUUUUUAAUCAUAGCUCUCCUUGUGUCUGUGUUAAAAACUCAUGCUCUCUAUGCAAAGAACAGCCAUUCUGUGGUGUCUGGAUUCUCCUGGCCCUGUCAUGCAGCUGACAUUAUAUCAUACCCUAUACAUACCCAUUUCUAUUGGAGGAGAGCUUCCGAAAAACAAAUCACCCUAGAUUUUGUGGAUUCGUGACUAGAAUCAUCCUAGACUUUGUGGGUACAGUCUCUUUUUUAGCUCCUACCCAGAACACAUUCAUUGUGUUCAUUAUUGAAGUGUUCUCUCAAUUGUGGUGCUGUGCACAUUGUGCAGGCUGGUCCUGCAGAGUGAAACAUCUGAUGACACUCAAAAGUCAUUAUUUUAUCUCACACAGUGACAGGUAUAAAAAAGUUCAUGGCUACAAGACUAGCUGAUUAACUAACAAUUACAGUUUGCUUUAAAUUAUAUUUGGUUUUUAUAAGAAGUGACAUAAUAUUGGCACCAAAUUGAGUGAUCAUAUUCAUUCCUUUAAAAUUACUUUGGCGUCAUGAUUAUAGAUAGCUAAAAGGGCCAAGCAGAGCUUGAAGCAGGAUUAGUGUAACAUAUCUCAUGCUAUUUUAUUUCUUUGUGAUUUGAAAGAAAUACUGCCUUUAACCUCUCUGUGAAAGUUAUAAGAACUUUUACUUAAGCUAGUGUUGAUGGUAUUAAGAUAUAAGAAUUGAGAAUUUAUCUUUUUCAGCUACAAUGAUUACUGAGCCAUAUGUCAUGCAUAAAAUUCUACAAUUUAUCUGGAAUUCUAUCUCACAUCAAACUUGUGGAAGAGAGACUAAUAUAUCUGAUAAAUUGUUUUGAGUUUUAAUUUCUAUAUUUGGAAAUUUAACUGAACCAAAAACUUUUAAAACCUCAGUAAAUAUAGUCUAGUUUAUAGAUCCUUUUACAUAGAAGCCAGAAUUUACAUUUAGGUAAGAAAAGUAAUAAGAAAAAUCCAAAACAUAUGUUCAUAUAAGAUGAUUCAUUUAGUACUUUUAAACAUAUGCUUUUGCACUAUAUGUUGCACAAACAUGAAUAAGAGUAUAAACUUUAUCCCACAGGACAUCACCACCUAGUUAAGCUGAUUAUUAAAAUACUAUUACAAUAAUCACUUUACAACACACAAAUAUAUGUUCUGUUGAGGAGUGUUAUACAAUGUUCCAUGGGAGUUCAAGGAAAGGAGAUUACUGUAUCAGAAUGAGUCAAGGAAAAUUCCAUAGAGUUGAUGACUUUUGGGCUGGGUAAAAAAGAAUUAGUAGUCAUUGUUCAAGAAUAAAAAAACAAAACAAUAUUCUGAAAUAGUCCACUCCAGGAAUAGCAUGUAACUUGGUAGGGGCGAAUCAUGGAGCACAUAUUGGAAGAGAGAGGGAAGAAAGGGCUCAAACACAAAUUGUUUCCAGAUGGUUAAGAGCAGUGUUUGCUCUUCUAAAGCAUUUAGAUAUUUUUGAGAACUAUUUAAAGUUUUUAGUAAAAACCCUUGUUAUUAUAGGAAAUUUCAAAUAUAUAAGAAAAUAGACAAAAUAGCAUAAUGAACCCACAAGUAUUCAUUGCCAACUUUAACAACUUUCAAUUUAUGGUCCACCUUGUUUCAUUUACAUGUCCACUCAUGUUCCUUUCUUCUCACUUUAGUUUUGAAGCCAAUAUUACAUAUUGUAUCAUUUCAUCUGCAAAUACUUUAGCAUGAAUUGCUGGAAGUUGAGUUCUCUUUAAAAAUCUGUGAUAUUAUUAAUAUACCUAAAAUAGUUACUAAUAAUUUGUAGCUAUUAUUGUAGUUUGUCAAGUAGAAGAAUGAUAUAUUUGCUUUCUGGUAAGAACACUCUGAAGGCAAUGAAAAGGACUGACUAAAGAGAAGAAAGUAUCAAAGACAAAGAAGACUGCAGAGACAGAUUUGAAGCAAGGCAAUGGUAACAAGAGUGGAUUAAUUUUCAGAAUAUCUAAAAAGUUGAGAGUUCUUGAGAUCAAUUGUCCAUGGUGGUGCGAGAGACGAGGGAGUAGAGGAAGAUUUGGAAGUUUCAACUUGGAUAAUCAGCAUGUGAAAACAACAUUAACUGAUGUAGUGUAAGAAAUUCUUGAAAAGCAAUUUAAUCUAGUUCAGCACUAGAUGGAGAAUGUUGGAAACAAACUCCAAAAUAACUUCCUAUUACCCUCAAACAAAACUUUGAGACUUGGCACAUUUGGAGUAAUUUUGAUUGCUCCAUUUUGAGAAAGCUGUUAACAAAAUUUGGAGGACGUAUAGCAAAUAGCAUCUAAAAUGUUCAGGAAAAGAGAGGAACUGCUUGGACAGACUAAAAACUAAGAACUCUUCAGAUUACAUAUCUUGAAAGGUUAUAAAAUCAUCAAGGCUCAUGAACAUGACUUACUCACCAAACCCAAAUCACUAGAAUUUAAAAUAAUGAAAGGAAAUUCCCUCUCAUCUUAUAAUGAAAAUAUUCAGACAAACAAAAAAGUUGCAAGAAUUAGACAGUGAAUACCCAUUUAUCACCAAUUCAUUUCUACAAUUUAGUGUGUUUUAGUCCUCUUAGUAUAAUUUUAGAUGCUUUUUAACGCAUCUGUUUGUUUAUCCACUCCUCUCUCUAUCCAUUGGUUCAUAUCUAUUUUUUUCAAAAUAAAUUGUAGAUAGCACUACGUUUAUCAGCUUUAUUCCUAAACACCUUAUUGUGCAUAUCAUUUACCAAACUUCAGCAUUUGUUUAGGCAUAUGUUAUAUUUUCCUCAAGAGAGAUUAGUCUUGUAUUACACUUAUUUUCUCAAAAAGAAAGGUGAUUCCAAAGGAACUAACACAAUUCAUGGCUGAUUAAGAAACUGAGACCCUCUUGAUCCUCAGAAGUUGUUGUCAUAUUAUCAUACAGAGCAGUCGCUUUCUACUACAAAACAGCCUCAGGCACUGUUAAGUACUGGCGUGGCAAUGCCAUGCCCAUCCCAAUAAAUAUACACUACAUUUGAACAUGGAGAAACUGAGACUCAGAUAUAUAAGCCUUUUGCCCAUAAGUGAAAGAACUGGUUCUAGAACAAAUCACCUCUAAUAGUUUGCCUCUGACUACUCUGCAGAGUAAUAAUGUGAUGGAACAGAUGAUUUAUAAGUAAAAGGCAAUUUAUUCAUUUUACAUAAAGUCAUCAUGAGAUUUCUCAUUAUGCGAGAGUAGCUAAGCAAGGGGAAAGGAGAUAAAAUUUUCUCACAAAAAUAGCUCCUCAUUCACAUAUAGGAAAAAACCCUGCCAGUCAGUAGGAUAGAGAACAAGUUUGGACCUAUUAAGUUUUCUUAAAUAUUCUCACUUAUGUCAAAUUUUAACAUGGUAAAUGCUGCUGAUUGGUUCAAGAAUUAAAAAUCAGGCUGUGGGGCUGGAGGUAUGACUCAGUGGUAGAGUACAUGCUUAGCAUGUGUGAGGUCUUGGGUUCAAACUUUGGCACCAAAAAUACAUAUUAUAUAUUCAGGGUGAGAUGAUGUCUAAAACAUGUACUCAUCAAAAUAUUUAUUACUGAUAAAGAUACCUAGUAUUUAUUUGAAAACUGAAAAAUGCAGUCAAAUAGCCAGACAUCUGCCUGCACAAAAAGCAGACAUUCUGAUACUAGAAAAAAAUUAGGCAUUUGAUGGACUUUUUCAGUUUCUAUUUUGAUGUUAUAAUUUCAAUCUGUGUCAGCGGCUCUCAACUGGGAAUGAUUUUACCACCUAAGGAGCAGUUGGCAAUGUCUGAAGACAUGUUUUGCUUCCCAGUGGGGCUGGAGGUACAGACCUAUUCAUAUCUAGUGAGUAGAGGCCAGGGAUCCUAGGCCAGGUAAACAUCCUACAAUGUACAGGACAAUGACAGAGAAUUAUUCGCCCACAAAGGCCAAUAAUACCAAGCUUCAGGAACCCUAGUCUGUACGAACCAAUUUAAAAAUCCCAUGUGCCUUCAGAACACUUUAGAAGAAUUUCAUGUAACGUUGCUUCUUAUUACUGCUGUUGAGCUGUAAGUGGUGAUGACUUCAUACCCUCAGUGAAACACUUCUGCAGCCACCCUAAUGAGAGAAUUUGCUGUAAAGUAACCUCAGUGUAGGGUCCAUAAAAGGCUGAACUGAGCAUCUCACAAGGCUCUUGAGUAUCCAUAAGAUCCGAUGGUGGCUUGCAAGGAUCCAGGUACUUAGCAGACGAACAGUCAAAGCAGUGAGGGCUACAUUAUUGAUCAGAACAAGAAAAAGGAGCAUUAGGCCCUAAAGCAGGGGAAAGUUCAUCCUAGGAUUGGAGAAGUUCAUUUCUCUGUUUCCCUCAUUCCUCUUCAAACACUCAGGAAGGAGAAUGGAGGGCAUGAAAGUCAGGCCAAUUCUACACUCGUGCUACCAACUUGAUAACUGAUUAUUUCUGAUUUAUGGUAUUCUCCUGCAUCCUCUCCUGACUAAUUGAUGACAUUUCUGUGUCUGUAAUCCUGUUCUCUUUCAUUCAUGUUACAAUUGUGCCCAUCACUUACCUUUCAUUAUCCCCCCUUUUUCUGAGUUUUCAGCUUCUUCCUUUCAACUAGAGAAGCCCUUUCUGUACAUAAAUGUGGUUCAGUAACUCUCAUCUUAUAAAACAUCUUUUGCUCCCAAUAGCUCUGCCAAUUUCUCUUCACUCAAUCCUAGCCCAACUUAGUAAGCUUGUGUUCCACGCACGCUGUCUUUAUUCCCUUCUAUUCUUUAGAUCACAUCAACCUGGCUUCUGCCCACAACUCCAAUAAAGAUGCUACAUUAUUGUCAAGGUCCCCAGUGACCUCGUGGUGGCAGAUGAUGUUUAAAGAGCAGAUGGUUGCUCCUCCUUUUGUUAUUUGACUUAGUAGCAUUCAAUACAGCUGACUAUUUCAACUUCCAUGAGCACAUUCUUCUUGUGGCCUCAUGGUGCAACAGGCUUUUAAGUUUUCCUUCCCUUUCACAGGAACUAUUCACAGUACUUUCUUGCUUCUCCUCCCCUCCUGAUAUUAGAAAGCCCAAGGUUUCUGGGUGGACUCUCUUGUCCUCUCCUUAUACUUUCUUCCUGAGAGAUCAAAGCCAUGCAUAUGGUUUUAAAUUCUAUUUACAUGGGGGUGACUCGAUUUUAAGUUCUAUCCAAGAUCUUUACUUGGAUCUUCGGAUUUGUAAAAUAAAUGCAACUGAGCCACACGCAUGUAUUUUACAAGCACUUCAGCCUUCUUACAUCCUGAGUACAACUUAGGUUUCUUCCUAUGUACCCCCUUCCUCCAUCCUACAGCCUUCUCCAAGUCUCAGUAAAUGGAAUUAUAAUCCAGCCAGUUUCUCAAACCUUUUGUUUCCUCACGUUCUCAGCUGAGUCUUGUCUCCAAGUCUCAGCUCUUGACUUAAAUAUCAUCUCUUUAAAGAGAUAUCUCCUGACCACUCAGCUAAAAUGAUUGUUUUUACCAUUCUCUAUCUUAGCAUUCCCUGUGGGUUUUCAUUUAUAGCUCUUACAACAACUUAUGCUUACAGUAAAACCUUGGAUUGCAAGUAACUUGUUCUACAAGUGUACCAAGAGAUGAGGAAACAUUUCUGAUAAAUUCUAACUUGAUAAAUGAGCGAUGUCUUGCAAUAUGAGUGGUGUGUGGCAUGGAACAUCACAUGGUCACAUCUGACCCAGUGAUCUCUCUUUCACUGCGGGAUUGUAGAGAUUGUCUCCCAGCAGCAAGAUGUUUUGGAGGAGAACUCAUGUGUGGAGGAGGAGAAAAGGACAGAGGAAUCCUUCACUUCAAAUGAGGUCAGGGAGAUGUGUAAAAUGUGGGAAAAAGUGCAGAAUUUUGUGGAAAAACACCACCUGAAUAAUGCUGUAGCACUGCAAGCAAUGACUCUGUUUAACAACAGUGCAAUGGUCACAUUUCCAAAAAAUCUUCAAAGGGAGGCAAAAGAAAGUGUCAUUGGAUGGGUUCCUUGUUAAAAUUAUAUGAAGAGAAAAAGAUUCCAUUCAGCCAAUAGAUUGCAGUGAUUCCUUUAGUGACAGUGAAGUCAUUCUACACAAUAGCCCUCCUCUCUGUCUCCCUCACACCAGCCGUGAAUGUUUUCAAAGGUAAGUGCAGGUUAAUUUGUUUAUUUUUCUUUAUAUUAUGCACUUUCUCUAUUAGUUCUUAUUAUAUUACAGUAUUGCAAUCUUUUUAUGUUGCUGUUGUUUGUUUUUUGAGACAGGGUCUUGCUAUAUAGUUCAUGUUGGACCUGAAUUUACUGUAUAGUCCAAGCUAGCCUUGAACUUGCAGUGAUCCUCCUACCUCCUGAAUGCUGGGAUUAUAGACAUGUGUCACCAUGCCUGGCUUGUAAUCAUUUUUAAUGAAUAUUUGGGGGUUGUAGAAUGAAUCAUCUUAGUUUCUAAUACUUCUUCUGGGGAAAUUCACUUCAAUAUACAAGUAGCUUGGAGUACAAGCAUGUCUCUGGAAUAAAUUAUGCUCACAAACCAAGGUUAUACUGUAUUUGCAAUUUUGUCCAUCUACUUGGUUGAUGUCGAUUUCCCUCUGUACAGAGACCUGGUCUAUUUAGUUCACCAUUAAUUACCAGUGCUUGGCAUCAUGUCUGGGAGGUAGAAACAUAUUUAUUGAGUCAAUAAAAAACUAUUUGGAUAUUGGGAUUAAAACUGGUGCUUUUAUUUAUUUAGUUUUGUCUCACAAGAUAAGAAUUUUUCUGUCAGUCAUACUUUUAUUUAGAUUAAAAGAUAACAUUUAGCCACCACUCAGGAGGAAAAAGAAAAAAACCAAGAUAAUGAUAAAUUGAUAUUCAAUUGGAAAAUCACUUCUUUUUUUGUAUUCUAAUUUACUUAUAAUAUAGAAAUAAUGCUAUUUGUUGUGGUUAAUAUUUUGAUGUUCCUCCAAAGCCUCAUGCACUCAUAGAUGGAGCUUUUGCAAGGUGAUUGGAUCAUGGGCUUGUGUUAAUCAUCAGAGAACAGUUCCACUGAUGAGUUUAUAGGUGACUUGCUAUUAAGAGGUGGGAUUUGGUCAGAAGAAGUGGGUCACUGGGAGCAUGGCCUGGAAGGGUUUCUUUCUUCCCAUCUCUCCUUUCACUCACUCUCUGCUUCCCCACCACCAUCCCAAGAGCAGCUUUCCUCAGUUCUCCUCCACCAUGACCUCUGUCAUGCCAUCCUGCCUUGGAGCCUGUUGAUUAUGGACUAAAAUGUGAGCCAAAAUAAACCUCUCCUUCCUUUAAGUUGUGAGUCUCAGGUACUGUGCCUCAGCAAUGAAGAAAGUGACUAUUCACUCUGCCAGAAUUAUUUUAAAAGAUUAUUUAAAUUUAAAGGAUUACUUUAAUAAUGCUUUGAAAAAAGUCAUUAAAUGCAUAUAGCUAUACUUGAGAUGGCGCAGAGAUUCUAUGUAUUAUCAAUUUCUUCUUUCUGAGAACUAUACCGAACCAAUGUCUGAGCUCUUGAGGUUUGUGAACCAAUAAAAUGUCACCAGUCUUUAUUGUUAUGUCUUAUUUGAAAGUGUGUUAGUCAGCUUUCCAUCACUAGAACAAAUACUCGAGAUAAUCAACUUAUAAAGAGAAAAGGUUUAUCUGGCUCAGAGGCUUGGAGUGUUCUAUCCAUUAUAAGUUGGAACCCAGUGCUUUAGGCUUGUGGAGGCACCUCAUGGUAGGAGCACUUGGCAGAGAGAGACUGCUCACCUGAUGGCCAGAAAGUUAGGUGAGAAAGUCAUGGAUCCCAUAGUCCCCUUUGAAGGCGCAUGCCAGUGACCCAAACACUUCCCACCAGGCCCCACAUCUUACAGUUUCUACCACCUCCUAGUAGUAUCAACCUGGGGACCAAGCCUUUAAUACAGGGACCUGUGGGGAACAUUUCAGAUCAAACGUUAGCAAAAGGACACCACUAGAUAGUGUCUUAGUGAUGUGGCUACAGUUGUGUACUGGCUGUGUGCUUUGGAGCCAGCCUCUUAGCCGCCCUGCCCUGUGGGAGGGGCCAAGCAAGACUGGUGGUCAGCACAGACAGCACAGUGGGCCCUGGCUGAGACCUAGGCCUGGGCACAGUGGACAUCCUGGGAUCUGACCAAGGUGCUGAAGGAUAAGAGAGAAGGAAGCAACUUCACAGGAAGGAGUAAGGAGCAGGGUCUCCAGACCUCAUCAGAGUCAUAGUUACAUUUGCAAAAAUGAAAACCUUAUGUUUUUAGAAUUAGUUGUUCAGUCUGAGGUUGCUUGUGGAGUCUCAGGAGGAACUUAAAAUUUCACUGGCUUAAACUUUUGUGACUUUAAAAAGCUGAUGGUGAGUAUAUUCUAGCACAGUGGCAGAGGGGUGUAGGUUGGUGUGGGGCCAAAGCGACACUUGAAGGGCUCCCCUCAUCAUGACAAUUCCAUGAUUUAAAACCUCACUGGAACUUGUAUGUGAUGCAUUCCCAGAUCCUCCAGCCAACUUAAUACCAGCUAUUUCCUUAUGACUGGGUGCAGAUUAAGGUCCUCCUAAAACAGAUUUCACUGGACUCCUGCACAAGAGGACCCUUCUGGGUUUUCCUGCCCCCCAACAUCACCCUGAAGCGCCAAAGCUUGAGCAUGUGGGUACAUGUAUUACUACACCAAGAGUGCCAGCUGAGACCAACAAAAGACUCAUCAGACCUCUCAGCUUCUCUGUUUCACCAAGCGCAGUUACCUGACCCACAAAGCAGAGUAAGCCAAGUGCUUUUGUGUGACACCAGCUAAUACUGCCCGAGGGAAAAAAAAUAACCAACUUAGACUAGAGCCCUGUCUUUUUUGACAAGCUAGAAGUUGAAGGUGCUGCUAGUCAGUGACUGAUAUCUUUAUUUAGUGGCUUGGUCCCUGAAUUCAGAGACUGAGUUGCAACUGAGUAAAAAAAAUAGAAAAUGAAGUCUUAGAGAAAUGCACUGAGGUGCAAGCCAGAUUUAAUUCUCUUCAAGUAAGGUUGGUUGAACUAAGAAUUGGUUAAACCAAAUGUGUAACAGGACUGGAUAUUUGUCAUUGUUACCUCUUGCUGUUACAUUGCUCCCUGUGUCUUCUGUCUCAGUUUAGAUGUUCUCAGACAAUUAACACUGCCCUGAUUGUAGACAACUGUGGUUUCCUAGUUUAGAACUAAGUCAUGGUUGUACCUAAUUAAACCUGUUGUAUUCUUUUUUUUAAAAAAAGCUCAUGAGUUUUUCCUUCUCUUUUAUUUUGGGCAAAUCCAUAUCCAUUUGUUUUAAGGUUAAAAAAUGAUAUAUUAUGUGCUGGAACCUCAAGGAAUAUUGUUUUUUUUUUUUUUUUUUUUUUUUUUUUUUGUCUUCUGAAAUCCUCUGGGGAAAUCAGUCUUUGAGUAGUGGUUAUUAAACCUUUAUUUCAGACCCUUUGGAGCCCUUGAGCAAGGCUAUGGACACUCACUGUAGAAUAAAAGCCCAUACAUACAAACACGAAAAAUUUCACAAAAUCCCACAUUUGGCGUUAAGGUUUUUACAGAUCUCAGAUUCUUAAGAACUUUGCUAUGGACUGAAAAUUUUUUCCCCAGAAUUCAUAUGUUGGAGCUCUUAAUCCUCAAUGUGACUUGUCUGAAAGUAGAAUUGAUAAGAAGGUAAUUCCGGUUAAAUGAAGCCAUAGUGUAGGUCUCUAAUCUUCUAGGGCUAAUGUCCUUAUAGGAAUAGGGAACUGCCCCGCCGGUUCCGAGUCCGCGGACGACGCGGACGCCGAGCCCUGCAGGAGGCGUUCGAGAGUGACGGGCCGGCCCUGGCUGGAAGGGCCCAGGCGCUCCGGGCUUCUGUUCUGUCACCGCGGGCACCUCCCCCUCCCCAGCCCCGGGCCAAUGGGGCGGGUGAGGCGAAGGCGGAGAGAGCCAGACGUCCUGGUCACUAGCUCCAGUUUUUCCAGAGUGACAAGUGAUUACAAGUCCUUGCUGCCUUCCGUUAGGAAUCAGCAAUAUGCACCAGGAAAAUGCUUCUAGAAGAAAACCAAUUGAGAUUCACCCACAGAUAUCUUCCUAUUGAGUUCCAGAACUGAAAGAGAAGUUGGAGGUCUCCAUCCAUUCAUCUACUUCAGAAAUCCUAACAGAGAAAAUGAAGCCCUCUUCUGAAAUGAAAGUUAUUUUGCUCAGGACCACAUUUCAUUUCUGCACAAGGGACGGUUGAAACAGAGGCAGAGCAGGAAAGAGAACAAAAAAGAAAUGGAGUGAUAGGAAGAGAAACAGAAAGAUACAGCACAAGAAGAACAUCCAUCAGAAAGAGAACAAUACAGAUUUAGUUACAGAUAAUGAAAGGGCCAGGAGCCAUGCUCAGUCACAGGAGAGUAGACAUAGAGAUACAGGUCCUGCAAGUGGCAUUCACAAAAGCUGAAAACAGGAGGAAAAGGAUGGAACACACAGGGAAACGUGGAAUGAGGCAUACAAAAAGAGAGAAAGCAACCGUCUUUCACGGGAUGGUAUCCCUUUUAGGCUAGCACCGAGAAAAGCCAUAUUGCAUUUAAAGAAACAUAGCACAGCCAGGCGUAAUGGUGCGUGCAUGUAAUCCCAGCUAUUUAGGACUCUGAGGCAGGAGGUUCACAAGUUCAGCCAGGCAUGGUGGCACAUGCCUGUAAUCCAAGCCUUUGGGAGACUAGGAGGAUCCCUGUGAGUGUAGGGCCAGCCUGAACUACAUAACCAGACCCUGUCUCCAAAGCACAAAACAAAUAAGCAGAAAGUAAAACUUAAGUUUGAGGCCAGCCCGGACAACUUAGUGAGAACAUCACUACAGUCUGCACUCCCACAUUAAACGGGGAGGGGGGAAGGAGGUGUGGUGAUGCACACCUGUAAUCCCGGCACUCAGAAGGCUGAGGCGGGAGGAUCACCUCAAGUUUGAUGGCAGCCUGGGCUACAUAGUGAGUUCAAGGCCAGCCUAAACUACAUAGUAAGACCCUGUCUCAAAAAAAAACAACCAACCAAAUUCUAUACAUACAUACAUGAAAACGAUUCCUCCACCUGCCUUACGGCAUGGCUGGGAGAACUAGGUGAGACUAUUUUUAAAAAUACAUAAGCAACAUCCUGAGUUUAAUCCCCAUUACCAAAAAAAAAAAAAAAUUAAACUACAUGCUGGACAUGAACAGUCGAUUGUUGUUCUUUAUCUUGGACUCCUUGAAGCACAGCUCCCUGCUGUUAAACCCCUUAGUAGCGUCUAUUAGAUUGAAGAUACCCUAGACUGCAGCUUCCUCAGUUUUACCCUGGACAGUUUGCAAAAGCAAACUAUGAGCCUGCGAAGCACAGUCAGACCCCAGCACAUGGUUUCUGCAAACAGUGAGCGCAGCUACACCCCUCAGGGACGUCUGCUCUUGUACACAAUGAUAAUGAUCCACAAAAACCAUAAUUAACACCAAGGAAAAGAAAAAGAAUAGGAGAUGCCUGUUGCCUGUUAUGUGACAACGGAGAGAAGGCAGCCAUCUGUAAGAGGGAAGGAGAGCCCUCACUAGGAACUAAAUUGGCCGGAACCUUAUGUUGGACAUCUCAGUCUCCAGAACUAUGAGAAAUAAAUUUCUGUUGUGCAAGUCACACAGGCUAUGGCCUUUUGUGAUAGUGGCCCGAGUUGACUAAGGGAAGCCCUACCCUAGAACCUGGUCUGCUCCUGAUGGAGCUGUGCUUGUGGUCACUGAUCCAUGGAGAAGUGGAUGAGGGUGGGGGACACCCUAGUGAGCGAAUGUCCCACAUCUGGAUGAUCCGCCCUGAGGAGUGUGUGGGCGCCUGGGCGCACAGGGGCAGGGGCAGCCAGCAGUACCUGGCCGGGCUCUCUCUGCCUCAGAUUUGCUGCUGAGUCCACAAAGACAGUAAGUAUGUAGGACACCGAAGGACCUGGUGCUCCUCUUCCACGCAUUACCUCUUCUAUACAGGUUUUUGUUUUAUUGGGCAGGUGGUCUACCUGAACCUAGGGACCUCUUUAACUUUUCUUUCAAGUGUUUAGUAUGAGACAGAUGUCUUCUUGCACACAGUAAUUCCAUUUUGUAAGACAGAGAAGAAUCUCCCCACAAUUAAGAUUGGGGCCACCCAAGCCUUAAACUGCUGGGAAUGUGGAAAUUAUUUUGUCUGGUAAAUUCCAUUUACCCAUCCUUUUCCUUCUUGAGAAAGCAACCACUAUCUAAUGUGGAUAGAAUUUGGAGACCAGGACAGAAGGAGCGCAGUUCUCAGGCUAGUUAGUCUGACUUCUGGCAGAGCAGGCCAAAGUUACAAGCCUAGUGGUGAUGUUCAAAGUGAGGACUAGGAGAGGGGAGAAUGGGAAAGGGUUUGCUGGAAAAGUUAAAGAGAAAAGACAAAUUUGAGUGGCAAAAGGUAACAGCAAAAUCUCUGCAGUUCAAUAUGAAGGAAGUAAAUGCGCAGAGUCAGGACCGAAACAUCAGAGCCCAGGAACCAAGACCCAUCAUUAGUCCUAAAAUUUUGCCCCCCACCCCGUCUCAAAGAUACCCAGAAACUGCUUCAGAUGCUCAGUGUCCAUCAGCCAGAGAUUGUGCUUUUUACUAAAAUCAGCGCUAUCCUUUUAGAUCCUUGAAUUCAAAGAAAUGUAUUGACAAAGAUAACCAAGUUAGAAUAAUCUUUGCAAGUCAAAGAGCUAAACCUUGAAAUCCUACUGGUGACUGAUAGCAUAUAGCUGCUUCAUUUCUCCAUGGGUUUAAAUGGCAAAAAGAGUGACUAUAUGUUAGAAAACCCCAAAUCAGCCUUUUGCUGCAUGCACUUUUUAUGUCCCAAACGGUUUUGGAUUCUUUGGAAGCUCAUGAUUAUGGAGUCUUUUCUUGCACUAACUCAACAUUUAAACUUGGGCAAGUCAUGUUAUCAUUUUGGAUUUGGGCUUUCUUUUUAGAAUGUGGUUGCUAAUCUGGUAACUAAAUGAAAGGUCCUCUUGAAAAGUGGAAAUGUUCCCUGUGUCUUCUACUGCCACAGUCUCUUUCUGUUAGAGCUACAGAAUUUCAUCUGAGUAGACCAAAAACACUACCAGAAGGCUUGAAUGAGCAAGAUGAUGAGACCAGGUGUUUUGACACCAAGCCUGCAGCUGCCCUGACCAGUAAAUAACUCUUCUGUAGCUUCUGGCUUCUCUAUUUAGAGUAAUAAACAACAAAGGAAAAAUACCAAUUCAUAUAGUGCCAGUCAUGUAAAUGACUCGUUCUAAGUGCUAGAAAUUAACCUGCUAUUUAAUUAUAAGAAGUUAUGAAAAGUUAUGAAAAGCCCAUAGUGACAACUGCUGGUGACAUACAUGAGUGUGACACAGAGAAGUAAAUUGUUACUAGUUGUAAUCAUAUAUCCAGAGCAAUUAUAGAGAGGAAGUGGGAGAGAGUGAAACUAUAUAUUCACCAUAGCAUGCAGAAUCUGAAAAUGUUUGCCUUCAGCAUGAAUAGGCACACAUUUUUUUUUAGAUAGUCCAAUGUACAUUUUAUUUUCUCUUAAUCUUUUCAAAAUUUAUAAAAUAAAGUAUUGAGGGGGCAUUGGCACCAGUCCCAAGCUGUUGAGGAAUCAUUAAUAGACAUCUAUUUAGUUGAUAGGAGAAACAUGUAUAAAACUUUAGGAGAAAAAAACCCCCAUAAAACUGGAGAAACUGCAAAACCCAGAGGUAAUGUUGAUAUUUAAGGAUAUUUUAAAUAGAAAUAAAUAAUAAUUUGCUAGCCUAACUAAACUUGACAAAUGCUGUAGAAAUCCUGAUAUAUUUUUUUGCUUAGAUAAGAGGUGAAAUUAGUCUUGCAAUCUGAAUCUACCUUUCGAGUGCGCAUUUGCCAGAAGGCUUAUGUAAGAACGAUAGCAGCCUUACUUAUCCAACCCACAAAUAGUAACACUCUGAAGAUCUGCACUGAAGGCUCCUCUUCGCUUUUGCAUCUGUGCUGUGAGUGGACUGCCCAUGUGUCUCAGAUAGGGCCAUGGUAUUGCCACUGUCUGCAAGACUAAGAAGAUACCAUAAUGGCAUAAUGGAGGACGUAGGUUGCAGAUAAGGAAAAUUCUUUCUAAAUUAAAAAAUAGCAUUUGUACUCUAAACAUUAUCAUAAAGCAUAAUUUGAUUUUGGAAGAAAUUGUAAUACUUGAAAACAACAUUGACAACAAUAACACAUUUUGCAAAACCUAGACUCCCUUAAUCUUGGUUCAGGUGCAUUUUGGGUUUCAGAGAUUCUUGAUUUUUCAUACGUAGAUGCAACUUUAGGUAUUUCAGUUAUUUUUCCUGAUCAUUGAUUUUUUUUUCAUAGUAGCUUUUUUUCCAUCAAAAAUCUGU